rnacentral:rRNA from 1 species
AGCAGCGGAGCAUGCGGCUUAAUUCGACGCAACGCGAAGAACCUUACCAAGGCUUGACAUAUACAGGAAUAUGGCAGAGAUGUCAUAGCCGCAAGGUCUGUAUACAGGUGGUGCAUGGUUGUCGUCAGCUCGUGUCGUGAGAUGUUGGGUUAAGUCCCGCAACGAGCGCAACCCUCGUUCUGUGUUGCCAGCAUUUAGUUGGGGACUCACAGGAGACUGCCGGGGUUAACUCGGAGGAAGGUGGGGAUGACGUCAAAUCAUCAUGCCCCUUAUGUCUUGGGCUGCACGCAUGCUACAAUGGCUGGUACAAACGGCUGCAAUACCGCAAGGUGGAGCGAAUCCGAGAAAGCCAGUCUCAGUUCGGAUUGGGGUCUGCAACUCGACCCCAUGAAGUCGGAGUUGCUAGUAAUCGUAGAUCAGCAACGCUACGGUGAAUACGUUCCCGGGGCUUGUACACACCGCCCGUCACGUCACGAAAGUCGGUAACACCC